rnacentral:misc_RNA from 1 species
UUUGGCUUUAUUUUUCACAUUAUUCUUUAAUUUUCUAAGGUAGCUACCAAAGAUUAAAUGUAUAUUUGCUUGUAAAAUGCAUUUAUUACAUAUUUAGGCUACAAAAUAACAAUUUGUAAGAGUUACCUCUCAAGUGGAUACAUCCAUGAAUAUUAUACUAGACUUGCCAUCCAUGCUUUGUAAGCCAAAUGCACUGGCAGAUGUUCCAUUGAGUAAAAAAAGCUUAGGGGAAAUAUACACUCUGACUUACAUAUGAUUAAAGGAAUCUCUUCAUUAAGCCUCAACAUAUCAUUUUCUCUAAUUGUUGUUGAAGUUAGGUCCUAGAAGAAAUUGCUUAACUCUGUUAAUGGUUGCCAAUCAUGUACUGGUAGCAGUUCUCUGAAUACUAUGGGGAGUAAUCUUUGCAUGAAAACAUGACAGUCAUGUCUUUUCAUCCUAAAUAGCUUAAGUUUUCACAUAUCAAUGCAUCUCCCCAUGUUUGACACAUAUCCAUCUAGGAAUUUUAAAGUUUUUAGCUAUUCACACAGCAUUGAUUUUGAGUUUUUGUCAAGUGUAUAACAUGUUUUAGGAUAUUUCCUUGUCGUUUUAUUCUUUUCCAACUCAAGCCGUCUAUAAAACUCUUUCAAAUCUUCCCUUGCUUUUGUAUUGUCCUUAGUCUUUCCUUCAACAUUCAUCACUGUGUUGAAUAUAUUUUCAAACAGAUUUUUCUCGAUGUGCAUUACAUCAAGGUUAUGAUGAAGCAUAUUAGUACUCCAAUAAGGUAAAUCCUAAAAAA